AUUGAACGCUGGCGGCAGGCCUAACACAUGCAAGUCGAGCGGAGCGGCGGACGGGUGCGUAAUGCCUAGGAAUCUGCCUGGUAGUGGGGGAUAACGUCCGGAAACGGGCGCUAAUACCGCAUACUAUCAGAUGAGCCUAGUUCGGAGUAGCUAGUUGGUGGGUUAAAGGCCUACCAAGGCGACGAUCCGUAACUGGUCUGAGAGGAGGAUCAGUCACACUGGAACGGAGAAACGGCCCAGCUCCCUACGGGAGGCAGCAGUGGGAAUUAUUGGACAAGGGGCGAAAGCCUGAUCCAGCCAGGCCGGGGGUGUGAAGAAGGUCUUCGGAUUUUAAAGCACUUUAAGUUGGGAGGCGUUACCGACAGAAUAAGCACCGGCUAACUACGUGCCAGCAGCCGCGGUAAUUC
rnacentral:rRNA from 1 species